rnacentral:lncRNA from 1 species
CCUCAGAGGACUCGGGACACUUUCUUAAUAACAUCCAGAUGGUUCCACAGAAAUUGUUAACAUCUUGGGGAAAAAAAAUCAGCUGCAGAAGAAAUGAGAUUCAAGUGGUUUAAGGAAGGACACAGCCUGGGGGGAGAGUCCCCAGGGACUGAGUGGGUCUGAAAUACAACCCGCGGUGCUGGGAAGCCCGCUUCCGCUUCCUAUAGUGGGGAGGCAGGAAGGGUGCAUACACAACCGGCUGGCCCCUUCUGGCGGGUGUCCCCGUGGAACCGACUUUCUGCUGAGGUUCCGUUCACUAACUGGGGUUUGUAGCAACUUUUUAAGGCUAUGUUAUGGUUACUGGUCUAGCUUUAGAGAGAACCAGUUACUUCCCAGUCUGCUGUCUCUGCAAGGUUCUGUGGGCACAGAGCUCAGAGCUAUUCGGUUUUUAAGCAUAUCCGGACAUAUUUCAUCUCGUAAAAAAAAAAAAAAAAA